UAUAUCAGCUGUGCACCUGUGGCCUCCUGUCUUUCGCGCUCCUCUUCAGUCAGCAGCUGUGUUUGGUGUAGCCAGAUCUCCCGGGAACAGAAGAGGCAAAGAGCAACGCGCAAUCGAAAAGCUAAAAAAAGAAAGAAAGAAAAGCUUUUACAUUCAUUCAGACACCAAACUUUUCGCGCAGGAGGAAGGAUUUCGUAGCCCGGAAGUGCCAAUUAACGGUGUAUCUUCACCGCGCACCAUGAGUCAUCGCGUUCAAACUGAUGUGCGGGAGAUCAGAAAUCGGAUUCUGAUUCAAGACGCCUUCAGAAAGACAUCAUCGCCCUGCUCCAAGACCAAGUGGUGUUUGUUUGGCUGAAAGAACCCAAACAACACCAAGAAGAAUUUGAUCAUCAUGAAGAUCGUCAAAUAGUAGGACGUCGUUUUUAUUCCGGGUGGUCGCUGUGCCCCCACUACACUCACUCUUCGCUUGGCGGCCGUGCCUUUUUACGUGCAUCUGUCAUGGCCGCCGUGCCAUAUGGCAGCUGUGCCUUUACAUGUACCUGUCAUGGCCGCCGUGCCUUGAAACUUCUUCAGCACACAUUUCACAUACAUAUUAGUACCUUACUUGAGGUAGGCCUGGCCUGUACAAAAUGGCUGCUGUUGCAAGAAACAAUGACCAGUUUUUCUUAUAUUCUAUAAAAUAUUCCAACUUUUUAGGUGUAUCAACGAAAGGGAAGCAUCGUUUUAUAUUACUUUUUUCAGGAUGCAUCUGCACAGCUCAAAUAUUUUGAGAAUAGUAGCUCAUAGCAUAGUAGUAACUAAUAGUCAUUCAUCCAAUUUUAACCUUACGCCGAGCAUUAAUUUCAUCGCGGACUGCCAUCCAACAUUUUGAAUUUCCUCAUUUGACGCAUCAUCGAGCAUUUAUUUCAUCGUGGACUGCCAUCCAGCAUUUUGAAUUUCCUCAUUUGACUGACAUAUCUUCGCAUUUAUUUCAUCGUGGACUGCCAUCCAGCAUUUUGAAUUUCCUCAUUUGACUGACAUAUCUUCGCAUUUAUUUCAUCGUGGACUGCCAUCCAGCAUUUUGAAUUUCCUGACUUUACAUUUUUUGGAAUGCUCCACAUCGGGUCCCGCUGACGUACUGGAAAUGUGAGUACCAUGUCCAAUUACGUACUUAAUUCUUUAAGUUUGUGGUUUUGCAAGGAUACUGUGUUUUAACUGCAAUUUUUUUUUUAUAUUUCAGCUUGUCCAUCCAUGAGGACCGCCCACUUCAUCCAACAUUUUUUCAUAAGAAAAACAAAUGCUUUAUUUAAUUUGCUUGUCCAACAUUUCUCCUGGUGAAUCUUGAGGAAAAAUUAAUGAUAAGGAACUGUCCUUCAAUCUAAAAUACAGCAUAUAUUUUCACAUUUAACUUUGGACUAUGUAUGUAAAAUGGAGGCUGUAUGAGUCACUGAAAAUCCAGUUUAAUUUAUUGGAUUGUAUUUAACCUGUGCUAACAAAGUGGGCAUAAAGGCAAUAAAUAGUUCUAAAUAUGCCCUAGCAAUUGACACAUUUAAUGACCACAAUAUUAGAUUAAGUUCCUCACUAUGCUGGACAUUUGUACAGGUAAUCAAUUAAUGCAUGUUCCAUGAUUGCUGUUUUUGGCAUUGCUCUGUUUGCAUCUCUCUCUGUCUGUCUCUCUUCUGUCUGGGGGCUAGAGUUAGGGUUGGGUAUCAUGCAGCCUAAAUAGACUAAAUUUUGAUAAUUGGGCUUCUGCUAGCUGGGGGAAAUUACUUCCCUUUUUAUGUUAGAGCAGCUUUAGGUUAACAUGAUUUAGCUUAAUCAUGCGCCCCCAAAAUGACAACCUUGAUAAAAGUGGUUUUCCAUGUCAUAGAUAUUUAUUUCCCUAACCAUUAAUUACUCCGGCUUGGAUUGUUUUGUAGCUCUUUGAAAUAAAUCAGUGGCUGUUAAUAAAACAUACUAGAACUCAAAUUACUUUUAUUAGAAUUAAAUUAGGUGGGAUUGAUUAAUUUUAACUAGUAAUUAGUGACUCAAUUGAUUAUUCAGCCCAUGGCAAGUUUCACCACACAGAUUUUGUAAUGCAUAAUGAAAGUUUAAGUUUAGACUACCUUGUCUUGCUCUGCCAGAUUUAAUUCCAACUGGAUACUCAAGUUAGUUGCGACAUACUUCUUUUGCGUAUCGUGUUGGGAGGCCUCCCAGCAGGGGAAUUAUAUUCCCACCCCUGCAGACCGCGUCAUUAGAGUUGCGUUCAUUAUUUACCACGGCAUCCGUGCUGCAUGUCAGUUUCAGGACAUGCGAGGGUCAGUUGUGUGCGAGACAGAAGCUUGGGUUCUCUGGUAGGAUGCAAAUCUGGCAGAGCGACAACUAUGGUAAUUAAAUGGUAACAAUUAUCACACCUAAUGUUUUUUUGCUUUAUUUUCAGAAUUACUGUUGAAGCAGUCAUGACAAUUGAUAGUUCUAAAUUACAGGAUAAACAAAUAGUUUAACUUGACAUACUAUGUUACAUUGUACUAUGGUGUGAAUUUCAGAUCUUAUUCAUUUACAUUGUCUCGAGGCAGAAACUAAAUAAAAAUAGGGCACUUGGCCUUUUGUUGAGCAAAAUCAAAAAAAAAAAGAAAGAUGAGAAGCUCACUUCAGGGCAUUUUCUCCAGUAUUGUCAGGGAAGCCCUCACCCAAUUUAAAUAUUUAACAGUGAUAGUAAUAGAGCUAAAAAGGUUGGUAUUAACCUAGAGACCCAUUAAUUAACAAUCCCUUUAUAUUAUACUUAAACACACUCAAUACACAAAUGAGCACCUUUUUUGUAGAUUUUGAGAAUUUGUAUUUGCGGUGUUCAUCCUUUAUCAGAAUGAGGCUGUAGAAUCAGGAGAAGUCAGCGGGAGGGAUGAUUUUUAGGAUGGACCUGGCCUGGAUACACACCAAGGCAGCUGUGGUAAGAUUAUACCUUGCACACUUGGAACAGGUGAGUUACUGAUGCAAUUCUGAAUUUAUUUUUUUUGGAAUAGGAAUACAAUUGAACUAUCUAAUUGUAUCUUUUUGCUUCACAAGGUGCAGAAUGAGAGCCAAGUGGUGAUGGAGGCCAGGACACCAUGACCCAAAGAUGCAUCUUGGACAGCUGUGAAGGAGCCCCGGCAACCUGCACCAAAUCAUACAUGAUGCGUCUUUGCCAUGAGAUGUCUUCAUAUGUUUAACCUGGAAUCACCUUGACCCUGCUACAAGAUGAGGUCAACCACCAUGCCCCCAGUUUCCAAUGAUAACCCUGGAUAGAAUGCUGUAUAUCUGCAAGCCACGAAACGAGGUCAACCACCAUGCCCCCAGUUUCCAGUGGAUGAAUGGGCUCAGACUGAAUUCGAAUCAAGAAUGGAAAAGCCAAUACGCUGAUGGAUGACACAGUUUGGGAUUUGUGUGGGUCCUGAUGUCAUGAUGCCUCCAAACAAGAUAUGGUCACCACAGUUAAACCAUCGUCGAAACAGACAACUUAAAAUCCUUGACCCCUACUUUGCCCAUUUUCUUAAACAUCCUUGUUUACAAGUCACUGUCUCCAAAUCAUGCAAGAGAUCUUAAGUUCUCUUGCAUGACCCUAUAGAUUUGUAAUUUAACCAAAGUUUCCAUAGUUAACUAAAUAUAGACCUCAGUUUGGAGUCAAUGAGCUGGGUUUCCUUAACACUACAGAGAACGAGGUCAGAGUCGACUCAUCACAUGGUAAGGCUUUAGUCCUUCCCCUUCUUCUCUGUGUGUGACGGAAAUCUGACUAAGGACCCGUACUGACCUGUGUGCUGUGGUUGUGCAGUUUCCAAAACUAGACAAGGAUCCAUCUAGUUUUGUGAAUCAGUUCAACAUGGCAUCAAUAAUCAUCCUCCCUCUUCAUCAGCAAUUGCUGAUGAGCUUUUUUUUUUGGUCAUGUAUAGCAACAUGACUACUCGUAAACACAGCAUGUCUUAAGCAUUUGAGCAAUUUGGAGUCGAGCUUUUAAAGUUGUCCGUUUUAAUCAGUGGCCAUGGGACAUUUCAGACUUAAUCACCAACCCUGAGCACAUUGCAGGGGAUGAUGUGUUGUAAUGGGCCCAGGCUGAAAUUAUAUCCAGGCCACUGGGGUAAAACUCUCUGCCGAGCACACUUGAACAGUUUUUGAUUGAGUAGGUGCAUAAGCCAAAUGGUGAUGGAGCAGGUUCAGUUUCCUGUGCAACUGGGGAACUGAUGUGGGACUCUGACCAGCUGUGACAUGUACCAAGGGAUGGAUUCAGGACGCCAUGACCCAACGAUUUUGCGUCUUGGACAGCUGUGAAGGAAGCGGGCAACCUGCACCAAACCAUACACGAUGCUUCUUCUUUGCCAUGAGAUGUCUUCAUGUAUGCGCAGUCGGAUAAGUUCUUCUAUGUUGCAUUGACCCUGCUACAAGAUGAGGUCAACCACCGUGCCCCCAGUUUCCCGUGGAUGAUGUCCGCUACUCGACUCAAGCUGAAUUCUAAUCAAGGUUGCUAAUAAUGCUCUACAUUGCCCACUUGGAACAGAAUUUUGGGACAUUUAUGUACGACAUUGUGACGUGGAGACAUUGUAUCCUGGACAGCUGUGAAGGAGACGGGGAAACCUGUACCAAACCUUACUUGAUGUCUCAUUGUCAUGAUGCAUCUUCAGGACCUGAGCUCAGGGCCCAGAAUUCAUGACACCUCCAAACAAGAUAUGGUCACCACAGUUGAACCAUUGUCGAAACAGACAACUUAAAAUCCUUGACUCCUACUUUGCCCAUUUUCUUAAACAUCAUUGUUUACAAGUCACUGUCUCCAAAUCAUGCAAGAGAUCUUAAGUUCUCUUGCAUGACCCGAUAGAUUUGUAAUUUAACCAUAAUUAAAUAAAUAUAGACUUCAGUUUGGAGCCGAUGAGCUGGGUUUCCUUAACACUACAGAGAACGAGGUUAGAGUCGACUCAUCACAUGGUAAGGCUUUAGUCCUUCCCCUUCUUCUCUGUGUGACGGAAAUCUGACUAAGGACCCGUACUGACCUGUGUGCUGUGGUUGUGCAGUUUCCAAAACUAGACAAGGAUCCAUCUAGUUUUGUGAAUCAGUUCAACAUGGUAUGCAAUAAUCAUUCUCACUCUUGACAAAUCAGCAAUUGCUGAUUUUUUUUGGUCAUGUAUAACAACAUGACUACUUGUAAUCAUGGCAUGUGUUAAGCAUUUGAGCAAGUUGGAGUCAAACUUUUAAAAUUGUCUGUUUUUAAUCAGUGAUCAUGGGAAAUCUUCAGACUUAAUCACCAACCCUGAGCACAUUGCCUUGACAUCACAACUGCAUGUCUGUAAACCACAAGACGUCAUCAACCACCCACUUCCGAGUUUGCAGGGGAUGAUGCGUAGUAAUGGGCCCAGGCUGAAAUCAUAUCCAGACCAGUGGGGUAAAACACUCUGCCGAGCACACUUGAACAGGUGCAUAAGCCAAAUGGUGAUGAAGCAGGUUCAGUUUCCUGUGCAACUGGGAAACUGAUGUGGGUGACAUGAACUAAAAUGUCCUUGAUGCCUCUUUACUAAUGGAUGGAUUCAG